rnacentral:ncRNA from 1 species
CUUAUCAAGAGCGGCUGAGGGACAGGCCCUGUGAAGCCCGGCAACCUGCGUUUAGAGUGUGGUGCCAAUUCCUGCGGAUUUAAUCCGAGAGAUGAGG